rnacentral:rRNA from 1 species
GAUGAACGCUGGCGGCGUGCCUAAUACAUGCAAGUCGAGCGAACGGACGAGAAGCUUACUUUUCUGAUGUUAGCGGCGGACGGGUGAGUAACACGUGGAUAACCUACCUAUAAGACUGGGAUAACUUCGGGAAACCGGAGCUAAUACCGGAUAAUAUUUUGAACCGCAUGGUUCAAAAGUGAAAGACGGUCUUGCUGUCACUUAUAGAUGGAUCCGCGCUGCAUUAGCUAGUUGGUAAGGUAACGGCUUACCAAGGCAACGAUGCAUAGCCGACCUGAGAGGGUGAUCGGCCACACUGGAACUGAGACACGGUCCAGACUCCUACGGGAGGCAGCAGUAGGGAAUCUUCCGCAAUGGGCGAAAGCCUGACGGAGCAACGACGCGUGAGUGAAGAAGGUCUUCGGAUCGUAAAACUCUGUUAUUAGGGAAGAACAUAUGUGUAAGUAACUGUGCACACCUUGACGGUACCUAAUCAGAAAGCCACGGCUAACUACGUG